AUUGAACGCUGGCGGCAGGCCUAACACAUGCAAGUCGAGCGGAUGAAGGGAGCUUGCUCCUGGAUUCAGCGGCGGACGGGUGAGUAAUGCCUAGGAAUCUGCCUGGUAGUGGGGGAUAACGUCCGGAAACGGGCGCUAAUACCGCAUACGUCCUGAGGGAGAAAGUGGGGGAUCUUCGGACCUCACGCUAUCAGAUGAGCCUAGGUCGGAUUAGCUAGUUGGUGGGGUAAAGGCCUACCAAGGCGACGAUCCGUAACUGGUCUGAGAGGAUGAUCAGUCACACUGGAACUGAGACACGGUCCAGACUCCUACGGGAGGCAGCAGUGGGGAAUAUUGGACAAUGGGCGAAAGCCUGAUCCAGCCAUGCCGCGUGUGUGAAGAAGGUCUUCGGAUUGUAAAGCAAUUUAAGUUGGGAGGAAGGGCAGUAAGUUAAGACCUUGCUGUUUUGACGUUACCAACAGAAUAAGCACCGGCUAACUUCGU
rnacentral:rRNA from 1 species